UACGUAGGGGGCAAGCGUUAUCCGGAUUUACUGGGUGUAAAGGGAGCGUAGGUGGCAUGGUAAGCCAGAAGUGAAAACCCGGGGCUCAACCCCGCGGAUUGCUUUUGGAACUAUCAGGCUGGAGUGCUGGAGGGGUAAGCGGAAUUCCUAGUGUAGCGGUGAAAUGCGUGGAUAUUAGGAGGAACACCAGUGGCGAAGGCGGCUUACUGGACUGUAACUGACGUUGAGGCUCGAAGGCGUGGGGAGCAAACAGG
rnacentral:rRNA from 1 species